UACGGAGGAUGCAAGCGUUAUCCGGAAUUAUUGGGCGUAAAGCGUCUGUAGGUGGCUUUUUAAGUCUGCCGUCAAAUCCCAGGGCUUAACCCUGGACAGGCGGUGGAAACUACCAAGCUGGAGUACGGUAGGGGCAGGGGGAAUUUCCGGUGGAGCGGUGAAAUGCGUAGAGAUCGAGAGGAACACCUGCGGCGAAGGCGGGUUGCUGGGCCGUAACUGACGCUGAGGAGCGAAAGCGUGGGGAGCGAACAGG
rnacentral:rRNA from 1 species